UCAAGAACAAAUGAUGAACAAACGAAUU
rnacentral:piRNA from 1 species